rfam:Gossypium hirsutum cultivar TM-1 chromosome 20, whole genome shotgun sequence
CACGUCAGCAUGCUUUGCUGACGUGGCAACAAAUCGCCCCCUCGUGGACGCGAUUUGUUACUACGUCAGCAAAGCGUACUGACGUGG